rnacentral:rRNA from 1 species
AUUGAACGCUGGCGGGGUGCUUAACACAUGCAAGUCGAACGAGUGGCGGACGGGUGAGUAAUAUAUCGGAACGUGCCCAGUAGCGGGGGAUAACUACUCGAAAGAGUGGCUAAUACCGCAUACUAUUUGAGCGGCCGAUAUCGGAUUAGCUAGUUGGUGGGGGAAAGGCUCAUCAGGGCAACAAUCCGUAGCUGGUUUGAGAGGACGACCAGCCACACUGGGACGGAGACACGGCCAAGACUCCUACGGGAGGAAGCAGUGGGGAAUUUUGGACAAUGGGGGAAGCCCUGAUCCAGCCAUCCCGCGGGGAUGAGAAGGCCUCGGGGUUGUAAAGUACUUUUGUCGGGGAGGCGGUAUCUGAAUAAUAAGCAACGGCUAACUACGUGCCAGCAGCCGCGGUAAUUC